GCAGGUGUCUGCUGGUGCGUUAGCGCGUCAGGUGACGUUUACGCACCAAUUGCCAGUGCAGAAAUCUCUUUAAAAAGAGAGCACAGGCUAUUGCAGAGUGGAUGGCGUGUUUGUGGCAGGUUUGCCUGGUAUUAUGUGUCUUCUUGGGAGCCCGAGCUUCACUGAAAAUAUGCUGUUCAUGUGAAGUAUCGAGAGUGGUUUCUCGUGGCGCUAAGAGUUAAGACUGACGAAGUCUCCAGCUAAUUGCUGGCUUGAUCCACUCGCGUAGGGUGCCCUGGUGAAGGACUGAAUGUUGUUGCGGUUUUCCCCUGCCGCGGUUGGGAGUGCAUGUGUGUCUCAUCGGUCGGGGUGUUGGCCCCCUCUUCGUCGAUGUAGCUGUUAGACGCGGCGGGCUGCUGUUUAGUGUUGGGUUAAUUACAUGUGCCGAGUGCUGGUGUGUGCGUAACGUGUGGAAGUGGCUGCGUGAGUGCGUGUCUGGUGCUAUUUUUAUACUGAUGGUGCUCUUGAAUGAGUACAUUACCUGUUCAUUGUACUUUUGUUAUCCGUUUUUGUUUGUUAUUUUCUGAUUAUGUGUUUUACCACACUGAUGCCAAGUCUCCUCCCAUUGCCCAGAUAACCUGGCUCCUCUAGCUUCCUGGUUGCAGUGUCGUAGUGCAAGGUGCCCUCUUGGUGCCGUAGUUUGAAUUUGUUGCAGUCUCAACAGAGUGGGUUGAUUUUGUGCUCCCCUAAUUAUAACUACUGUGUGCUGUGUAUUUCGGGGGUGGUUACGGUGCUUUUGUAUUUUAUUAGAGGCUCACGGGGUAUGGACAUUCUGUGGUAAUCUGGGAUAACGCAUCAGUGAUUGUGGGAACCGGUUGUUUUAUUAAUUUGUUUGAUUUCCUUGAUCUGUGUAUUCCAUUCGUGUAUACAACAUCCGAAACAUUGUUUGUUGCACUUGAACCCUUUUAUACAUCGGACAUAUUUAUAAGAACGGAAAAUAAUAAAAUAAGAUAAUUAACUGUUAC